rnacentral:rRNA from 1 species
UACGUAGGUGGCGAGCGUUGUCCGGAAUUACUGGGUGUAAAGGGCGUGUAGCCGGGCUGACAAGUCAGAUGUGAAAUCCGGGGGCUCAACCCCCGAACUGCAUUUGAAACUGUUGGUCUUGAGUAUCGGAGAGGCAGGCGGAAUUCCUAGUGUAGCGGUGAAAUGCGUAGAUAUUAGGAGGAACACCAGUGGCGAAGGCGGCCUGCUGGACGACAACUGACGGUGAGGCGCGAAAGCGUGGGGAGCAAACAGG